AUUGAACGCUGGCGGCAUGCCUUACACAUGCAAGUCGAACGGCAGCACGGGGCAACCUGGUGGCGAGUGGCGAACGGGUGAGUAAUGCAUCGGAACGUGCCAUUGAGUGGGGGAUAACGUAGCGAAAGUUGCGCUAAUACCGCAUAUUCUGUGAGCAGGAAAGCAGGGGACCGCAAGGCCUUGCGCUCUUUGAGCGGCCGAUGUCAGAUUAGCUAGUUGGUGAGGUAACGGCUUACCAAGGCGACGAUCUGUAGCGGGUCUGAGAGGAUGAUCCGCCACACUGGAACUGAGACACGGUCCAGACUCCUACGGGAGGCAGCAGUGGGGAAUUUUGGACAAUGGGCGCAAGCCUGAUCCAGCCAUGCCGCGUGAGUGAAGAAGGCCUGGUGU
rnacentral:rRNA from 1 species